rnacentral:rRNA from 1 species
GAUGAACGCUGGCGGCGUGCCUAAUACAUGCAAGCCGAGCGAACAGAUGAGGAGCUUGCUCCUCUGACGUUAGCGGCGGACGGGUGAGUAACACGUGGAUAACCUACCUAUAAGACUGGGAUAACUUCGGGAAACCGGAGCUAAUACCGGAUAAUAUAUUGAACCGCAUGGUUCAAUAGUGAAAGACGGUUUUGCUGUCACUUAUAGAUGGAUCCGCGCCGCAUUAGCUAGUUGGUAAGGUAACGGCUUACCAAGGCAACGAUGCGUAGCCGACCUGAGAGGGGGAUCGGCCACACUGGAACUGAGACACGGUCCAGACUCCUACGGGAGGCAGAAGUAGGGAAUCUUCCGCAAUGGGCGAAAGCCUGACGGAGCAACGCCGCGGGAGUGAGGAAGGUCUUCGGAUCGUAAAACUCUGUUAUUAGGGAAGAACAAAUGUGUAAGUAACUAUGCACGUCUUGACGGUACCUAAGCAGAAAGCCACGGCUAACUACGG